rnacentral:rRNA from 1 species
UACGUAGGGGGCUAGCGUUGUCCGGAAUCAUUGGGCGUAAAGAGCGUGUAGGCGGCCCGGUAAGUCCGCUGUGAAAGUCGGAGGCUCAACCCUCGAAUGCCGGUGGAUACUGUCGGGCUAGAGUGCGGAAGAGGCGAGUGGAAUUCCUGGUGUAGCGGUGAAAUGCGCAGAUAUCAGGAGGAACACCAAUUGCGAAGGCAGCUCGCUGGGACGUUACUGACGCUGAGACGCGAAAGCGUGGGGAGCGAACAGG